rnacentral:rRNA from 1 species
AUUGACCGCUGGCGGCAGGCCUAACACAUGCAAGUCGAGCGAGCGGCGGACGGGUGAGGAAUGUAUGGGGACUGCCCGAUAGAGGGGGAUCACUACUGGAAACGGUAGCUAAUACCGCAUACUAUCGGAUAACCCAUAUGGGAGUAGCUAGUAGGUGAGGUAAUGGCUCACCUAGGCGACGAUCCCUAGCUGGGCUGGGAGGAUGAACAGCCACACUGGGACUUAGACACGGCCCAGACUCCGACGGAGGCAGCAGUGGGGAAUAUGGCACAAUGGGCGCAAGCCUGAUGCAGCCAUGCCGCGUGUAUGAAGAAGGCCCUAGGGUUGUAAAGUACUUUCAGGCGGGAGGCGUUACCGACAGAAGAAGCACCGGCUAACUCCGUGCCAGCAGCCGCGGUAAUAC